GCCGGAGUAGCCCAAUCGGCAGGAGGCAGCACAUUUAAAAUGUGCUCGGCGUAAGCCGCGUGUGGGUCCGAAUCCCACCUCCGGCACCA
rnacentral:tRNA from 1 species